UACGUAGGGGGCUAGCGCUGUCCGGAAUUAUUGGGCGUAAAGGGUGCGUAGGCGGCCUGACAAGUCGGAUGUGAAAUCCCUGGGCUCAACCCAGGGCCUGCAUCGGAAACUGUCGGGCUUGAGUAUGGGAGAGGUGAGUGGAAUUUCCGGUGUAGCGGUGAAAUGCGUAGAUAUCGGAAGGAACACCUGUGGCGAAAGCGGCUCACUGGACCAUUACUGACGCUGAGGCACGAAAGCUAGGGGAGCAAACAGG
rnacentral:rRNA from 1 species